rnacentral:rRNA from 1 species
GAUGAACGCUGGCGGCGUGCCUAAUACAUGCAAGUCGAGCGAACGGACGAGAAGCUUGCUUCUCUGAUGUUAGCGGCGGACGGGUGAGUAACACGUGGAUAACCUACCUAUAAGACUGGGAUAACUUCGGGAAACCGGAGCUAAUACCGGAUAAUAUUUUGAACCGCAUGGUUCAAAAGUGAAAGACGGUCUUGCUGUCACUUAUAGAUGGAUCCGCGCUGCAUUAGCUAGUUGGUAAGGUAACGGCUUACCAAGGCAACGAUGCAUAGCCGACCUGAGAGGGUGAUCGGCCACACUGGAACUGAGACACGGUCCAGACUCCUACGGGAGGCAGCAGUAGGGAAUCUUCCGCAAUGGGCGAAAGCCUGACGGAGCAACGCCGCGUGAGUGAUGAAGGUCUUCGGAUCGUAAAACUCUGUUAUUAGGGAAGAACAUAUGUGUAAGUAACUGUGCACAUCUUGACGGUACCUAAUCAGAAAGCCACGGCUAACUACGUGCCAGCAGCCGCGGUAAUACGUAGGUGGCAAGCGUUAUCCGGAAUUAUUGGGCGUAAAGCGCGCGUAGGCGGUUUUUUAAGUCUGAUGUGAAAGCCCACGGCUCAACCGUGGAGGGUCAUUGGAAACUGGAAAACUUGAGUGCAGAAGAGGAAAGUGGAAUUCCAUGUGUAGCGGUGAAAUGCGCAGAGAUAUGGAGGAACACCAGUGGCGAAGGCAACUUUCUGGUCUGUAACUGACGCUGAUGUGCGAAAGCGUGGGGAUCAAACAGGAUUAGAUACCCUGGUAGUCCACGCCGUAAACGAUGAGUGCUAAGUGUUAGGGGGUUUCCGCCCCUUAGUGCUGCAGCUAACGCAUUAAGCACUCCGCCUGGGGAGUACGACCGCAAGGUUGAAACUCAAAGGAAUUGACGGGGACCCGCACAAGCGGUGGAGCAUGUGGUUUAAUUCGAAGCAACGCGAAGAACCUUACCAAAUCUUGACAUCCUUUGACAACUCUAGAGAUAGAGCCUUCCCCUUCGGGGGACAAAGUGACAGGUGGUGCAUGGUUGUCGUCAGCUCGUGUCGUGAGAUGUUGGGUUAAGUCCCGCAACGAGCGCAACCCUUAAGCUUAGUUGCCAUCAUUAAGUUGGGCACUCUAAGUUGACUGCCGGUGACAAACCGGAGGAAGGUGGGGAUGACGUCAAAUCAUCAUGCCCCUUAUGAUUUGGGCUACACACGUGCUACAAUGGACAAUACAAAGGGCAGCGAAACCGCGAGGUCAAGCAAAUCCCAUAAAGUUGUUCUCAGUUCGGAUUGUAGUCUGCAACUCGACUACAUGAAGCUGGAAUCGCUAGUAAUCGUAGAUCAGCAUGCUACGGUGAAUACGUUCCCGGGUCU